GAAAUUGCGGCAGGCUAACACAUGCAAGUCGAGCGGCAACACAAGGUGCUUGGUCACGUUUGACGAGAGCGGGACAGGUGUGUAUUGUGUGGGGAAAAGCGCGAGGGGGGGGGAGAUCUACUGUGGACGGUGUCUCUAAUCGCGCAACGUCUCACGAGAACAAAGGGGGAGAUUUUCGGCUCUCGUGCUCUCAUGUGCGCCCAUAGGGUUAUAUAUAAUGUGGGGUAAUGGGUCUCCUCUGCGACAAUACCCCUAUGGGCUGAGAGAAGAACACCCCCCACUGUGACUGAGACACGCGCCCCACACCCCCAGGGGGGGCCACUGGGGAAAAUAGUGCACUGUGCGCACGCCUGAGACGCCCCUGUGCCGCGUGUAAAAAAAGCGUUCUCGUUGUGAAGAACAUUUUCCGCGGAGAAAAGUGUUGAGAUGAUAAUCCUCUCCACUUGUGAUUUCCCCCACAAAAAACACCGGCUCAAUCUCCGCGACCACCCCCGCGAAUAUAGAGAGGGUGCGCGUUAUACUCAAAUUCAGUGGGUAUAGCGCACACACGCGGUCUGUGUCGACUCAUAUGAAAUCUCCCGGGUCUCCCCGUGAACUCUGUUCUAAAAUGUGGUGCGAUAGACUCGUGUAGAGGGGUAUAAAUCUCCGUGUAUCGCGGAAAUGCGCAUAGAUCUGGAGAAGAAUCCCUGUCGAAAGCGCCGCCCUGUGACAAAGACUGACGCUCAGGUGCGAAAGCGUGGGGAGCAAACAGGAUUAGAUACCCUGGUAGUCCACGCCGUAAACGAUGUCGACUUGGAGGUUGUGCCCUUGAGGCGUGGCUUCCGGAGCUAACGCGUUAAGUCGACCGCCUGGGGAGUACGGCCGCAAGGUUAAAACUCAAAUGAAUUGACGGGGGCCCGCACAAGCGGUGGAGCAUGUGGUUUAAUUCGAUGCAACGCGAAGAACCUUACCUACUCUUGACAUCCAGAGAACUUUCCAGAGAUGGAUUGGUGCCUUCGGGAACUCUGAGACAGGUGCUGCAUGGCUGUCGUCAGCUCGUGUUGUGAAAUGUUGGGUUAAGUCCCGCAACGAGCGCAACCCUUAUCCUUUGUUGCCAGCGGUUCGGCCGGGAACUCAAAGGAGACUGCCAGUGAUAAACUGGAGGAAGGUGGGGAUGACGUCAAGUCAUCAUGGCCCUUACGAGUAGGGCUACACACGUGCUACAAUGGCGCAUACAAAGAGAAGCGACCUCGCGAGAGCAAGCGGACCUCAUAAAGUGCGUCGUAGUCCGGAUUGGAGUCUGCAACUCGACUCCAUGAAGUCGGAAUCGCUAGUAAUCGUAGAUCAGAAUGCUACGGUGAAUACGUUCCCGGGCCUUGUACACACCGCCCGUCACACCAUGGGAGUGGGUUGCAAAAGAAGUAGGUAGCUUAACCUUCGGGAGGGCGCUACCACCUUUGGAUUACGGGGA
rnacentral:rRNA from 1 species